rnacentral:rRNA from 1 species
UACGGAGGGAGCUAGCGUUGUUCGGAUAUACUGGGCGUAAAGCGCACGUAGGCGGCGCCGUAAGUCAGGGGUGAAAUCCCGGAGCUCAACUCCGGAACUGCCUUUGAAACUGCGGUGCUAGAAUCCUGGAGAGGCGAGUGGAAUUCCGAGUGUAGAGGUGAAAUUCGUAGAUAUUCGGAAGAACACCGGUGGCGAAGGCGACUCGCUGGACAGGUAUUGACGCUGAGGUGCGAAAGCGUGGGGAGCAAACAGG